AUUGAACGCUGGCGGCAUGCCUUACACAUGCAAGUCGAACGGUAACGCGGGGGCAACCCUGGCGACGAGUGGCGAACGGGUGAGUAGCGCAUCGGAACGUGCCCAGUAGUGGGGGAUAGCCCGGCGAAAGCCGGAUUAAUACCGCAUACGACCUACGGGUGAAAGCGGGGGACCGCAAGGCCUCGCGCUAUUGGAGCGGCCGAUGCCCGAUUAGCUAGUUGGUGAGGUAAAGGCUCACCAAGGCGACGAUCGGUAGCUGGUCUGAGAGGACGACCAGCCACACUGGGACGGAGACGCGGCCCAGACUCCUACGGGAGGCAGCAGUGGGGAAUUUUGGACAAUGGGGGAAACCCUGAUCCAGCCAUGCCGCGUGCGGGAAGAAGGCCUCCGGGUUGUAAACCGCUUUUGGCAGGAACGAAACGGCGCGCGCUAAUACCGCGCGCUAAUGACGGUACCUGCAGAAUAAGCACCGGCUAACUACGUGCCAGCCGCCGCCGUAAAAC
rnacentral:rRNA from 1 species